GAUGAACGCUGGCGGCGUGCUUAACACAUGCAAGUCGAACGGAAAGGCCCCUGCUUUCAGGGGUACUCGAGUGGCGAACGGGUGAGUAACACGUGGGUAACCUGCCCUUCACUUCGGGAUAAGCCUAGGAAACUGGGUCUAAUACCGGAUAGGACCAUGUUUUGGAUGCCAUUGUGGGAAGUUUUUCGGUGUGGGAUGAUCUCGCGGCCUAUCAGCUUGUUGGUGGGGUAGUGGCUUACGAAGGCGUCGACGGGUAGCCGGCCUGAGAGGGUGAACGGCCACAUUGGGACUGAGAUACGGCCCAGACUCCUACGGGAGGCAGCAGUGGGGAAUAUUGCACAAUGGGCGGAAGCCUGAUGCAGCGACGCCGCGUGGGGGAUGACGGCCUUCGGGUUGUAAACCCCUUUCGCUAGGGACGAAGCGCGAGUGACGGUACCUGGUGAAGAAGCACCGGCUAACUACGUG
rnacentral:rRNA from 1 species